GGGGAUUUAGCUCAGUGGUAGAGCUCUUGCCUAGUAAGCGCAAGGCCCUGGGUUCGGUCCCCAGCUCCG
rfam:Rattus norvegicus chromosome 11, whole genome shotgun sequence.